GAGACAUGUAUCAGCACCCUCAUUCUAGGUAGGUGAAGUUCGGCUCCAGAAACAGGGAGUUACUUGCUCAAGCUCACUCUGUGAACUGACACUCAUGUGCUUGACAGCUGGCAGAGCUAUCUCCCCACUGCAGGCUGCUUCCUCCCAGCUGUGCCCACCCCCACUGAUACACCUCCCUAAUAACAAGAGUUAACUUAAAAACAAAAACAAAACUGUGUCAGACACUAAAAAGUGCAUUAUCUUAUCAAGCCUUCAAGGAAACAUUAUGGGUGAGAAGUGUCAUUCCCAUUUCGCAGACAGUAAAACCAAGGUCCCGGGAAAUCUAAUGAUAGGAUCAGGAAAUUGAGGCUCUGGGAUUUGAACCCGGGUCUACCCAUCUCCAGGUCCCAUGCAUUUAACCCACACUGCUUCGUUUUGGCCCAGAUUCUUCUCUAUGUCUCUUCUUGUGUCCCUGAGGAACCCCGGGGGAAAUAAGGCACAUUCCACUUCAAGUCACUCUCCCUCCUGCCAGUCACUUCCCCUCGGCACGUUUGUUUUGCUGGAGGCCUGCUUUCUUCCCUGGGAACCCGGAGGAACAAUGAGCGGUGGCCACGCCCCCGGGGCCCCGCCCCCAUCCUGGACCGCUUCCUCAGCUUCCCCUUGCUCACGCUUGACCCCGGCGGAGACUGCGUUGGAGGCCCCUCCAGCUCGCCUACCAAGUGCGUCAAUCACUUGUUUACUUGCUUUUCCUGCCUGGCUCUGGGGGUUCCGCUGGCUAUUUCUUCCCUCUGGAGGUUCUCCUGAGGUCUUCGGUUACCCACCAAGCAUGGACCCUGCUGGCUUCAUAAUCUCAGUUGCCCAUGUUGACUAA
rnacentral:lncRNA from 1 species